AGGACGAACGCUGGCGGCGUGCUUAACACAUGCAAGUCGAGCGGUAAGGCCUUUCGGGGUACACGAGCGGCGAACGGGUGAGUAACACGUGGGUGAUCUGCCCUGCACUCUGGGAUAAGCCUGGGAAACUGGGUCUAAUACCGGACAUGACCUGCUCUCGCAGUGGGGGUGGGCGGAAAGAUUUAUCGGUGCAGGAUGGGCCCGCGGCCUAUCAGCUUGUUGGUGGGUAAUGGCCUACCAAGGCGACGACGGGUAGCCGACCUGAGGAGGGUGACCGGCCACGACUGGGACUGAGACACGGCCCAGACUCCGUACGGGAGGCAGCAGUGGGGAAUAGUUGCACAAGUGGGACGAAAGCCUGAUGCAGCGACGCCGCGUGAGGAUGAAGGCCGUUCGGGUUAGUAAACCACUUUCGAGCGAAGGACGAACGCGACGAAGU
rnacentral:rRNA from 1 species